rnacentral:rRNA from 1 species
AGCGAACGCUGGCGGCAGGCCUAACACAUGCAAGUCGAACGAACCUUUCGGGGUUAGUGGCGGACGGGUGAGUAACACGUGGGAACGUGCCUUUAGGUUCGGAAUAACUCAGGGAAACUUGUGCUAAUACCGAAUGUGCCCUUCGGGGGAAAGAUUUAUCGCCUUUAGAGCGGCUCGCGUCUGAUUAGCUAGUUGGUUGAGGUAAUGGCUCACCAAGGCGACGAUCAGUAGCUGGUCUGAGAGGAUGAUCAGCCACAUUGGGACUGAGACACGGCCCAAACUCCUACGGGAGGCAGCAGGGGGGAAUCUGGCGCAAUGGGCGAAAGCCUGACGCAGCCAGGCCGCGUGAAUGAUGAAGGUCUUAGGAUGGUAAAAUUCUUUCACCGGGGACGAUAAUGACGGUACCCGGAGAAGAAGCCCCGGCUAACUUCGUG